UACGGAGGGUGCAAGCGUUAUCCGGAUUCACUGGGUUUAAAGGGUGCGUAGGUUGAUGGGUAAGUCAGUGGUGAAAUACUCCGACUCAAUCGGAGAACUGCCGUUGAUACUAUCCAUCUUGAAUACGGUGGAGGCGGGCGGAAUGCGUCAUGUAGUGGUGAAAUACUUAGAUAUGACGCAGAACACCUAUUGCGAAGGCAGCUCGCUACACCGGCAUUGACACUGAGGCACGAAAGCGUGGGGAUCAAAC
rnacentral:rRNA from 1 species